rnacentral:rRNA from 1 species
UACGAAGGGUGCAAGCGUUACUCGGAAUUACUGGGCGUAAAGCGUGCGUAGGCGGUUUGUUAAGUCUGUCGUGAAAGCCCCGGGCUCAACCUGGGAAUGGCGAUGGAUACUGGCGAGCUAGAGUACGGUAGAGGAGAGUGGAAUUCCCGGUGUAGCAGUGAAAUGCGUAGAGAUCGGGAGGAACAUCAGUUGCGAAGGCGACUACCUGGCCUGUUCUUGACGCUGAGGCGCGAAAGCCAGGGGAGCGAACGGG